GACGAACGCUGGCGGCGUGCCUAACACAUGCAAGUCGAGCGAACGGACGCGGCGUUUGCUUCUCUGAUGUUAGCGGCGGACGGGAGAGUCACACGUGUAUACCCUACCUCUCAGACUGGGAUAAUUUCGGCAAACCGGAUCUUAUACCGGAUGAUAUUUUGCACCGCGUUGUUCCAAGGUGAAAUUCGGUCUUUGGGUCAGUUAUAGCUGGAUACGGGCUGGAUUCGCUAGUUGGUAAGGAAAAGGCUUAUCAAGGCUAGGAGGCAUAGCCGACCUGAAAGCGUGGUCGCCCACCUGGGAAGGGAGACAGGGUCCAGACUCCUGCGGUAGGCAGCAGUAGGGAAUCGUCCGCAAUGGGGGAGAGCCUGACAGAGCAACGCCGCGUGAGGGAUGAAGGACCUCUGAUCGGAAAGCUCUGUUAUUAGUGGAGAACAUAUGUGUAAGUAACCGUGCAGAUAUUGACGGUACCGGGUCAAAAAGCCACGGCUAACUACGUG
rnacentral:rRNA from 1 species